rnacentral:tRNA from 1 species
AGGAGAAUAGCUUAAUGGUAGAGCUCUGGUUUUCAAAACCACUGGUUGAGGGUUCAAGUCCUUCUUCUCCUG